rnacentral:misc_RNA from 1 species
UGCAGGAACAGUGUGCUCCCCAUCAACCAUAGAAGAAUCAACACCUCCUAUUAUGAUACCUUCACUAGGUUCUUGACCUGUGGCUUCAGCACUAUCAUUGAUAUCAACCUGAACCUUAAUAUCACCCACAUUCUCAGUUUUUUCAGCAACAACAUUCAUGUCAACUUUAGCUGCAUCAGAAACAACUGGCACUGCCUCAGAAAAUUUUGUCCCAUCUACAGGCUGUUUAUCAAGAUCAAUAUCAGCAUCCACAUCUUUUGCAUCAUUUUCCCUCUCAAUGAGAAGUGCUUCGCCUAAACGUUUUAUUAAAUCAUCCUUCAAUCCUUUUGUUGUCAAUUUUCGCCUCUUAAGUUCUUCCUUUAACUCUGUAACCUUCCAUUGUUCUAUUGGUCGACUGUCAAUAGUUGGGUAUUUUGAUGACAUCCUUUUCCAGCUAAAAUCACUUUCACAAUCCUUAACAAAACAUAAAAAUUCAACACGCAAGCAGCCACUUGUGAUUGGAAUAUUUGAUUAGCAGCUCGCAAUCACCCAAAAGGCUCACAACAGAAUGGGAUAUGUGUGAAACCCUAAUUUCACAACAUAAAAUCCACCGUCAGACGUAUAGAAACAAAAGCAGCAAGAAAAACAACAGAAGCCCACAACAAAAGACAGGCCAAACAGUAAUUUAUCGCAGCCCCCAAACAACAAAAGACCCAACAAUCUGCGUCUCGGAGCUGCUCUGAUUCCUGAAAACAAAAUGAACAAAACCAACUAAAACUAAGAAAACAUGAGAAUCAAAUGUACAAGAGGGGAAAAGCAACAAAGGUUUCUAGAGAUACGAAAAUGAAAAAAAGAAACAGCUUCCGUUGGAUUUUUUUUUCUCUUCCUUUUAUCCAAUA